GACGAACGCUGGCGGCGUGCUUAACACAUGCAAGUCGAACGGAAAGGCCCUUCGGGGUACUCGAGUGGCGAACGGGUGAGUAACACGUGGGUGAUCUGCCCUGCACUUUGGGAUAAGCCUGGGAAACUGGGCCUAAUACCGAAUAGGACCACGCGCUUCAUGGUGUGUGGUGGAAAGCUUUUGCGGUGUGGGAUGGGCCCGCGGCCUAUCAGCUUGUUGGUGGGGUAAUGGCCUACCAAGGCGACGACGGGUAGCCGGCCUGAGAGGGUGACCGGCCACACUGGGACUGAGAUACGGCCCAGACUCCUACGGGAGGCAGCAGUGGGGAAUAUUGCACAAUGGGCGCAAGCCUGAUGCAGCGACGCCGCGUGAGGGAUGACGGCCUUCGGGUUGUAAACCUCUUUCAAUAGGGACGAAGCGCAAGUGACGGUACCUAUAGAAGAAGCACCGGCCAACUACGUG
rnacentral:rRNA from 1 species